rnacentral:rRNA from 1 species
UACGUAGGGUCCGAGCGUUGUCCGGAAUUACUGGGCGUAAAGAGCUCGUAGGUGGUUUGUCACGUUGUCCGUGAAAACCCACAGCUCAACUGUGGGCGUGCGAGCGAUACGGGCAGACUGGAGGUAUGCAGGGGAGAACGGAAUUCCGUGGUGUAGCGGUGAAAUGCGCAGAUAUCAGGAGGAACACCGGUGGCGAAGGCG